AAUGUAUUUUAUGUUUCCCAAAAGCAUGUGAAAUAUGUGUAGCAUAUUAAAAAUGAGGACGCACUGCCCAUAUGAAUUUUCCUGGGGUGACAUUUCUUCUGCCACUGCACUGCUUGCAAACAAUAGUCUAUGCAAACAAUUUUAAUCUUGUGUAAAGGGGCGGUAUAGCAUAGUGGGUAAGUGUCUAGACUCACUCGUAGCUGGUAGGUUGUGGGUUCAAACACAGCUGUUGUACCUCGUGUGAAGCCCCUUUAUCCCAGUUGCUCCAGUCCACCAUCUCUCUAUCCAGGGGGCCAUAUGCUCUCUGAUCACUUCACACCUAGAAAACGGCAUAAGCUCUGAUGAGCCAUUGAGAGUGCCUCGAAUGGAAUUAUCCAUACAUCCUGCACCAGACUUCUUCCCACAGGUUGAAUUCAAAUAAAGUUCCAAAUUUAUUUAGAACAAAAAAAAAGAAAAGAUUUUUGUUUUUCCACCUGCACUGAAACAAGGUUUUUAAAACUCCUUGUUCAAUUGUGUGAUUUACAGCUCAGCAAACCUCAGACAAUGCAGCCACUUCUCCUCCCUUGUUAAACUCCACUGACAAGAACGUAACAGAGCUCCAUCCCAGGGGUACAGACCUUCGCCUCGCCCUCCCCCUGGCGGUGGCCCCGGUCCUGCUGGCGGUCACAGCUGCUGGAUACUUCAAAAUCCGGAGAAGGAGGGAUUCCAGAAAAGUGGGUGCUGCAGGGCCCCAGGAUUCAGUCAGAGCAUGUGAGAUCCCUGGUGGAGGUGAGCCCGGCGUGAGGGAUCUCACCUACGCCGUUCUGACAUUUCACCCUCGCGUCUCCUCUGAAGAAGCCAGAUAUGCAAACGUCCAGCCGGGCCAGGGGCCGAAAGCCCCGGAGACAGUGGAAUACAGCUCAGUCUCCUUCCUGUCCACUGCAGGGCAAGGACAUCAGGAUGGGAAGUAGGAGAGAGUUACAGGGGCAUUCCUGGGUUUGUGGGUCAGCAAUGGAUCCAGGCAAAAGGGCUGGCAUCUUGCAUCUUAAAUGACAGCACCCACAAGAACACCAUAACCAUCUCGUGCCGGGUUGGAUCAGAGCUCCAUUACCUUAGAGGCAUCAGUGACAAAAGAGAGAUUAACAGAAAUAUUUAUUGCACUUAAAAUUAAUCAAUUAAAAUAAAUUGCCCAGUAAUAUCUUUUCUAGACGCAGGGUGUUAAUGCCUAUGUCUGCAACAGAACGUAUUGGAUCUGAAAGCACUCUGACAUGUUCAGCACACACAAUAAUUAAUCAUUUAGCAAAAACAGAUGACAGAAUCCAAAGGAAUAUCAGGACUGCUUACAAAACUUGUUUUUUCUCCAAAAAUGGACUAUACUUUCCAAGCUUGUUUUAAAUAAGUAAUAAAUCGUCUGCUUACUGGUUUGACCUGUUAAUCAUUUACAAUGGGUUUUGAGAAAACGAGGAAAAAAAGCCUUUGGAAAAUCACCCUGUUAAUAGUUGAACAAGCUUCUUCAUUACGCGUCUCAUAUCCGUAGCUAAGUUGAAUGCGCCCUCUUGUGGUGCCACAAGUGCAAAGGAAGUUAUAAGUUUCUAACUGCUGACGCAACUUAAAAUGUAAUAUCUCCGGCUGAGCAUUCACUACCGUGCUACAAAACAGAAACAUUUGUGUAACAUUAUGUACGUUAUAA
ensembl:lincRNA